CCCCGCCAGAGGGACGGAAGCACCAAGUCGCUGGAAUCCUCUGGAGUCGUCGUCGGUGGAAAUUUAAAGAUGUAUGGCCCAGUUUGUGCACAGGGUGCGCGCCACUUGCGAAUUUAAAUCGGGCCGGCUUGCAUUUAAGUACCCCCGACAGAAGGACGGAAGCACCAAGUCACUGGAGACCUCAGGAGUCAUUGCCGGUGGAGAAUUGGGGAUGUUUGGCCCAAUUUGUUGCAGUCGCAGGGUGCGCGCAACUUGCAACAUUUGAGUUGGACCAGCGUUGCAGGCACUCCGCCAGUCGUCAACAUUGAAGUUCCGAUGUGGAUCCCGCGCAGCCGUCAUUGUGGUCAUUUUAGAGUUGCUGGCACCACCGGGUCGUGGUGCACCGUUUGGCGGUGGAGUCUGCCUGAAUUUGGGCAGGGAACUCAUCGCUUUAAGUGGAUUCGUUACGCGCUACGUCUGCCAAUAAGCUGCCAACCCGUUCUCUGGUUUUUUCUCCAGUUGUCAGGAGGGUCCAGAACGCUGUCAGUUCCCGCGCCGCCGUCCCGUUUCAGGGUCCAGAACGCUAUCAGUUCCCGCGCCGCCGUCUCGUUGCAAGGUCCGAAAAGUUUCUGCAUCUCAGCUAGUGUCCUUCAGGAAUCGGCAGGGAGGUCAUAAUUGACUUGAAGUCGUCAGAAUUGCCGCUUUCGUAGGCCAUCUCGCCAGGAAUAGAGGAGCAUCUUAUAAUCGCCGGGCCAAAAUGCUUUGCCGUAGGCCGCCGCUCGAGAAAGUCCAUGGAAUUGGAUGUAGAAAAUUGUGCCUAUGUGUUUAAUUUUUUGUUUUUGUCUGAUUGGCAUUUGUCUUUUCUUUUACAGGUCCAGUUGUCCGGGAGUUUUUAAUUUGGAAAUCAAGGGAUGAGAGGCUAAUAAAAAUGUGCAAAUUCGUGUAGUCAGACAACAGGCAUUUUGAAGAGCCUCGGACCCUAGUUAUUUGUUUGUAUUGGCAGAGAGGGGCGUUGUCGUUGUUAUUAAUUUCCAGUUGUUUUUCUGGUUUGUAAUUUAUUAACAAUUGCUCUAUUUUUUACAGGAGAGCUGCCGAGUUCGAUUUGGAAGUAGCAUGGGCUGGAUAUGCAGUGCCGUGGAUUGGACGCAAUAGUUGUCACUGGAAGUCAUUGAGGGGAAAAAGACGAAUUUGGAGUGCGCGAAUUUUUUCACUACCGACAUCAGCAGCGCCACGCACUGUGGUCCACUGUGACGAGGGUAGACUGUGGCAUGGAGACGCCAUUAAUUCUCGUCAGUUUGCUGCGACAGUUGCGUUGCGCUAGGGUUACGCAUGUAAAAUGAAUUCGUCUAUUUAAAGGGUUUCGUCAGUGUAACCUUGCUGCGGGAAAAAGUCAAAUUCGAGGGUCACGAUUUCGACCUUUUGCCGGGUCAGCAGCGCCUCGCCUAGGGUCCAGAAAGUCGAAGGGGCAUCCCCACAUGGAGACGGUAUCAAAACAUUAUACGUUUUAUAUGUUUUAAGUGCCAAAAUCUCCAUUUUCGGUUACGUCGAGUCGGGAAGUAGUCAGUUGCGUAGUUUUAUGCUUUUAUUGAUUUAUUUUAUUCUUUUUCAGGGUCAGCGUCAGUAUUCUAAUGCUGCGGGAGAAAGGUCAAAAUUUAAGGGUCACGAUUUCGACCUUUUGCCGGGUCAGCAGCGCCGCGCCCAAGGUCAAGAAAGUCGAGGGGGCAUCACCACAUGGAAAUGGCAUCAAAACAUGAUACGCUUUAUAUGUUUUAAGUGCCAAAAUCUCUAUUUUCGGUUACGUCGAGUCGGGAAGUAGUAAGUUGCGUAGUUUUAUGCUUUUAUUAAUUUGUUAUAUUCUUUUUCAGGGAUGUUGUCAGUAUACCGUUGCUACCAGGAAAAAGUCGAAUUCAAGAGUCACGAUUUUGACCUUUUGCCGGGUCAGCAGCGCCGCGCCAAGGGUCAACAAAAUCGAGGGGGCUUCUUAACAUAGA